CUUUGUAUUCUAAAUAUGGUAUUAAUAUUUCAUGUAUCUUUACAGUGUUUCAGGUGCUCUUGGGUAAUACAAUUAUUAUUGACAAUUGGGAAGCUGCCAUUCAGUACCGAAGAGAGGUUGUGAAAACGACAGAUUGUCCAACUUUAUUAACAAGAGAGGGAUACAGAAUUUGCAGUAAUGGAAAUUUUGGAGGCCUUUCAAAUAAAGCCCCACCUAUAGAGAAGCUUCGGGGGAUGGUUUUUGGAGAACCUCUGCCACCGGAUUACAAUAUUGUCUGCCUACAGAUAGACCUCCUUCAGAAGUACCAAGCAGCAUUUCUCAAAUGUAAUGAAGUAAACAAUGAACUUGAAAAACUACGAUCCUUUGAUAUUUUAGAAAUGGAAAAAGAAGAAGAACUUGAUGAAUUGAAAGGCGAACUUGCAUUAAUAGAGGAGAAAUUAGGUAUGGAUGUAUUGACCCCCACAUAUAUAUUACCAAAAAGCAUUUUGGCACACCAAUAUAAUGGAAUAUAAACAUAAAUAAUGAAGUCAUGUAUAACCAGGCCCCAAGUUUCAAUAAAUCAAACAGGGUCUUCUAUACA
rnacentral:lncRNA from 1 species